AGAGUUGAUCCUGGCUCAGGACGAACGCUGGCGGCGUGCUUAACACAUGCAAGUGGAGCGACGAACCAGGGCUUGCCCUGGGGCAGAGCCGCGAACGGGUGAGUAACACGUGGGUAACGUGCCCCAAUGAUCGGGACAACCCGGGGAAACCCGGGCUAAUACCGAAUGUGCUCCCCUCACACCAGUGAGGGAUGGAAAGGAAGCUUCGGCCUCCGCAUUGGGAUCGGCCCGCGGCCCAUUAGCUUGUUGGUGAGGUAACGGCUCACCAAGGCUGCGAUGGGUAGCUGGUCUGAGAGGACGAUCAGCCACACUGGGACUGAGACACGGCCCAGACUCCUACGGGAGGCAGCAGUGGGGAAUCUUGCGCAAUGCGCGAAAGCGUGACGCAGCAACGCCGCGUGGGGGAAGAAGGCCUUCGGGUUGUAAACCCCUUUCAGGAGGGACGAAGGUUGGGCGGUUAAUAGCCGGCCUGACUGACGGUACCUCCAGAAGAAGCCCCGGCUAACUACUUGCCAGCCGCCGCGGUAAUA
rnacentral:rRNA from 1 species